CCCAAGAGAAUCCAUUGCACGUGGCCACUGGCCUAACAUUUCUGAAAGUGCAGGAAAAUGAUAAAAAAUUUGUACAGCAUCCUUCUGAAUAGACUCUAGAUAUAAAAGGCUCAAUGGAUUGUAUGAGGAGCACAAGUUAUUUUCCUCUUGGCUACAAUUGGCUUCGAAAAGUUAAAUUGUAACCCUGUAGGCAACGGAGGAAAGAAAUUUUGAUUCGCGCAGUUGGACUAUAGCAGGAAAGGGAAGGGUAUUUUAUUCGCGCAGUUGCAGCUCACCCAUUACUUGUAUAUUAAAAUUCCUUUUGUCUUUCUACACACGGAACUAAACCUUUCUAAUCUUUCUUAAAAAAUCGAAAAGGAUCAAUAAAAGGGCUUAAUGAUAAUGUAAAGCUUCGUAUAUUAUAUAAUGUACUAAAUAUAAUAAACACUGAUGAAUUUCACUGCA
rnacentral:misc_RNA from 1 species